rnacentral:rRNA from 1 species
CCUGAUGCAGCGACGCCGCGUGAAGGAUGAAGGUCUUCGGAUCGUAAACUUCUGUCUUCAGGGAAGAAGGUGGUGACGGUACCUGACUAAGAAGCCCCGGCUAACUUGCUGCCAGCCGCCGCGGUAAUAC